rnacentral:rRNA from 1 species
CUGGCCGUAAACGAUGGAUACUAGGCGUAGUGGGUAUCGACCCCUACUGUGCCGCAGCUAACGCGAUAAGUAUCCCGCCUGAGUAGUACGGCCGCAAGGUUGAAACUCAAAGGAAUUGACGGGGGCCCGCACAAGCGGUGGAACAUGUGGUUUAAUUCGAAGCAACGCGAAGAACCUUACCAGGGCUUGACAUGUCAGGAAUCUUAGGGAAACCUAGGAGUGCUCGCAAGAGAACCUGAACACAGGUGG